GAUUAAGCCAUGCAUGUGUAAGUAUAAAUAGUUAACUUUGAAACUGCGAAUGGCUCAUUAUAUCAGUUAUAGUUUAUUUGAUGAAGAAUACUAAUUGGAUAACCGUAGUAAUUCUAGAGCUAAUACAUGUAUAAAGUCUUGUAGACCGCAUUUAUUAGAAUGAAAACCAUAGGUUUCGGCCUAUUCGUGAGUAAUAAUAACUAAUCAUAUCGUAUGCUUAUGUAACGAUGUGUCUUUCAAGUUUCUGCCCUAUCAGCUUUCGAUGGUAGUGUAUUGGACUACCAUG
rnacentral:rRNA from 1 species